rnacentral:rRNA from 1 species
CGCUGAAGAGAGGAGCUUGCUCUUCUUGGAUGAGUUGCGAACGGGUGAGUAACGCGUAGGUAACCUGCCUUGUAGCGGGGGAUAACUAUUGGAAACGAUAGCUAAUACCGCAUAACAAUGGAUGACACAUGUCAUUUAUUUGAAAGGGGCAAUUGCUCCACUACAAGAUGGACCUGCGUUGUAUUAGCUAGUAGGUGAGGUAACGGCUCACCUAGGCGACGAUACAUAGCCGACCUGAGAGGGUGAUCGGCCACACUGGGACUGAGACACGGCCCAGACUCCUACGGGAGGCAGCAGUAGGGAAUCUUCGGCAAUGGGGGCAACCCUGACCGAGCAACGCCGCGUGAGUGAAGAAGGUUUUCGGAUCGUAAAGCUCUGUUGUAAGUCAGGAACGAGUGUGAGAGUGGAAAGUUCACACUGUGACGGUAGCUUACCAGAAAGGGACGGCUAACUACGUGCCAGCAGCCGCGGUAAUACGUAGGUCCCGAGCGUUGUCCGGAUUUAUUGGGCGUAAAGCGAGCGCAGGCGGUUUGAUAAGUCUGAAGUUAAAGGCUGUGGCUCAACCAUAGUUCGCUUUGGAAACUGUCAAACUUGAGUGCAGAAGGGGAGAGUGGAAUUCCAUGUGUAGCGGUGAAAUGCGUAGAUAUAUGGAGGAACACCGGUGGCGAAAGCGGCUCUCUGGUCUGU